AUGGGGGGGUCGACUAGCAAGGGCACUCCGGCAGGAGGAGCAGGAGGCAGCGGAAGCGGGGGUGGAGAGGCGGUAGAUGAGGAAGACGAAGAGUGGGAUUACUAUGGACCGGAACCAGAUUUGGAGGACAAAUUUGCUGGCAUGAAGCUGCAUGGAGAAGAGGAGGACGAUCUCGAUGUGUCAGGAGAAGUAGAGGAGUUGAUCAAGGGGGUGCGGUGGUUAGGAUUGUUCCGUGUUCAUACGACCAAGCCCUUCAGUCAUGCAUCGCUGUUGAGGCAGAUGCGAAACGCGUGGGCGGCUGCCCAGGGAGUGACUUUCAAUAUCAAAGGCCCAAACCUCUUUUUGUUCCAGUGCCAUUGCCUGGGUGACUGGAAGCGGAUCAUGGAUGGAGGACCCUGGAUUUUUCGUUUUACCCCGGUUAUAGUGCAGGAAUAUGAUGGCUUUACUGAUGUGGCUGAGUACAAACUAAAUAAAGUUCCAUUAUGG
rnacentral:rRNA from 1 species